rnacentral:lncRNA from 1 species
GGCCUGGAGUUAUACCCAAAUAACAUUUGUGCAGGUGUGGAAAGAAACACUUGCUCUAUGCUCAUUGCCUAGUGGUAUAACAGAACACGCUCUGCUUCUCCUGUAAUAUUGCUAGCAUAGCUGAUACUACAAGUUAAUGCAUGACUGCUUACUCUAAGUAGGCAUAUGAGUGCAUAAAAAAGAUUGAAAAUUGUAACACAUUUUUUAUAUGCAGCCCAAUGAAAUGUAUCGCCUUGAGCUCCAUUAUUUUGGCCAGAUCCCAUGAGGGGUGUUUGUGCCAAUUCUUGUCCUCAGUUGCCACCAUUUAUUGACUUGUUUCAUUGUGGGUUAAUUUCUGGGAACAAUAUUAAAAGAAUUACCCGUAUUUAGGAUAUAAUAUAAUUAGAAUGAUUUUGGAAGAAAUAGUUGGAAAAGGAAAGUCACCUGUGUAUGUUCAGAAUCUUUGGUCUCUCUGUUUGCUAUGUUUUCUUCAAGAAUAGGUGUAUUCUCUGGGCUCUCCGUGCAAUUAUUUUCCUCCACUUCAUUAUUGUUGAGUAUUUCACUUGAUUCGUCAUUGCUCGGUAGCUGAAACACAUGGUAUUAUAAUAUUAUAACAGAGAGAAUAUCUGUUUGAUAUGAUAUUGUACUAAAAAAAUUACAAACUGAUUUGUGGCGUUAGAAUUAGAAUAGUAAUGACAUGUGGAAAGAAAACUUGCCUCUGUCGAUUCGGGGAUUGUAUCUCCGUCCUUGGUUAUCACAGCAUCAAAAAGCAUGUUUAGUGGACCCUCCGUAAUGGACUCUUGUGUAGCCUUUAUGGACUCGGGAUAUGUAUCCUCCUAUACGGUUAUCACCUCAUCAAUCUGCAUAUUCUCUGUAUCCUCCAUAGUAGAUUCUUCUUGUAUCACCUCUGCCGACUCAGUGUUUGUAUCCUUGUCUUUCUUUAUCACGUCUUCAACCUGCAUAUUAUGUAUAUCCUCAUCCUUUGCUACCUUGUUGAUGUUAUCCUGAAAACCCAAGAAUGACACUUUUAGAUAGGAAACCUUGCAUAGGAAGAAGAGAGAUAUAAUAUGUCUUUACUCUGUAUGGUAGUUAAUAUGAGCCAGAAUUGAUUACCAUAUGAAUUGCUGCCUCUGUAGGAUUGAAGUGGCGGUGGUAACACAGUCAGUUGGGAGGACCCAAUGGCAGAGUCGAUAUUAUUGACAUUUUCCUUGUUAGAAACGGUAGUAUCUGGUGUUCUUAAUGAAUUUGGACCAUGAAGUGGAGUCUGAUCACUCAUUAUCACAUCAACAGGUAUGCCUGCAUCAUAAUUGUAUGUACAAUAUCAGCUGUUGACACACAAACGCCGGUAUUAUGGUUGGAUGUAGGAGAACACAUGACCUUCGGCAGCUGGUGUGUGUCGUUGCUGGGUGAUAGCAGACUGCGCACUGGGCCUCUCCACAGUGUCAAAACAUGUCCAAAAGAACACUUAAUUAACAUGAUUUUACAUGUGAUUGAUGAAUUUGUGAUAAAAAACAGAGAAAAUGGAGUAACCAGGCGACAUGGCCCUGUGUGGCUUAGAUGGAGUGUUGAUUCCAUUUAGAAUAGCAGCCGUAGCUUUCUUACGAUCCCUUGCCUCCUGUCUUUUCUUUAAUAUUGCAUCCCUGUUUAGUGCAUACCUCUCCCUUUCCCUCUGUCUCUUCAGCUCUUUUGCAUUUGUUUUUUGACCUGCGAGACAAGGACAUAUUCUGGAUUACAAGAUCUAAGUAGGUAAGAGUAGGUGAUAUAUGUAUUUACCUGAACUAUUGUUCUUGUUCGUCAGGUCCUGAAAGGGAGUACGUACCCCACUACGUUGAGAGGAUGCCAUAUUGUCUUCUCAAUGGUUCUUUUUGUGAAACAAUUAUUCAACCCUUCGUCAACUCAGUUUGUUCAUGAUGUACUGUAAGUAUCAAAUUUCACAGUGCAAAUUACAGACUGUCAGAUUCAAAGAGCAAUUUCCUUUGUCUUUUGUCAGAUCAUAAGACGUGCAGUAUAAAUGGAUCUAACCUGUGGCACUGGCAGGUCGAGAUGCUGCUGCCCACACGGGGUGAUGACACCAGAGGUAGGGCAGCGCGCCGGGUCGAGGACGUCGCGGACAGGGCGAGGGCGGCUGGCCGAGGCAAGGUUCGUGGCGUGAUGGCAGCGUUGAUGGUGGAGGUCGUGGCGUGGUGGCGGCUUUGAUCAUGGAGGUUCUGUUUAAUUCCCCGGGGGUGUCAUCACUGGGCUGUCAAAUCCUGAAGGGAGGAGUCUGCCGGCAGAACAUUUGUUUUGAACCGUAGAUCUGUUUGUAGUACGGUGGAUGUAACAUGGACCGUUGGAUGCAACCAUGUGGGUUUGAUCGGACGUUGAGGGUUAUCCUGUGUGCACUUUCUUGGGUGCACGUAGGGGAAGUCACGUUUGGUCUUUUAAUAGUAGUAUAGAUAUAGAUGACAGGAAUCGGACAAGCAUUGAUAGGGUCAAUCUUAGAACGAGUAGUAGCAACAGCAUGUUUAGUAAUAACAUGCCCAAGAUAAGUUAUAUCAUGUUGAGAAAAUUCACAUUUAGAAAGUUUAACUUUUCAGUAUUAUUGUUGUUGUGAAAUUUGGGUCUCCACAAUGCAAAGUAUGAGCGGGGUAAAUUGCCUCGUG